GCGCUCAUGGUACAGUGGUAGUGGAUUGGUCCACAAAGUCUGACCCGAAGCGCUUGCAACGGUGGCACUGGUUCGAGUCCAGUUGGUAACA